rnacentral:rRNA from 2 species
CUUACCAACCCGAUGCAAACUACGAAUACCGAAGAAUGUUAUCACGGGAGACACACGGCGGGUGCUAACGUCCGUCGUGAAGAGGGAAACAACCCAGACCGCCAGCUAAGGUCCCAAAGUCAUGGUUAAGUGGGAAACGAUGUGGGAAGGCACAGACAGCCAGGAUGUUGGCUUAGAAGCAGCCAUCAUUUAAAGAAAGCGUAAUAGCUCACUGGUCGAGUCGGCCUGCGCGGAAGAUGUAACGGGGCUAAACCAUGCACCGAAGCUGCGGCAGCGACGCUUAUGCGUUGUUGGGUAGGGGAGCGUUCUGUAAGCCGUUGAAGGUGUGCUGUGAGGCAUGCUGGAGGUAUCAGAAGUGCGAAUGCUGACAUAAGUAACGAUAAAGCGGGUGAAAAGCCCGCUCGCCGGAAGACCAAGGGUUCCUGUCCAACGUUAAUCGGGGCAGGGUGAGUCGACCCCUAAGGCGAGGCCGAAAGGCGUAGUCGAUGGGAAACAGGUUAAUAUUCCUGUACUUGGUGUUACUGCGAAGGGGGGACGGAGAAGGCUAUGUCAGCCGGGCGACGGUUGUCCCGGUUUAAGCAUGUAGGCGGAGGUUCCAGGUAAAUCCGGUACCUUAUUAACGCUGAGGUGUGAUGACGAGGCACUACGGUGCUGAAGUGAUAAAUGCCCUGCUUCCAGGAAAAGCCUCUAAGCAUCAGGUAACACGAAAUCGUACCCCAAACCGACACAGGUGGUCAGGUAGAGAAUACCAAGGCGCUUGAGAGAACUCGGGUGAAGGAACUAGGCAAAAUGGUGCCGUAACUUCGGGAGAAGGCACGCUGAUGUGUAGGUGAAGUCCCUGCGGGUGGAGCUGAAAUCAGUCGAAGAUACCAGCUGGCUGCAACUGUUUAUUAAAAACACAGCACUGUGCAAACACGAAAGUGGACGUAUACGGUGUGACGCCUGCCCGGUGCCGGAAGGUUAAUUGAUGGGGUUAGCGGCAACGCGAAGCUCUUGAUCGAAGCCCCGGUAAACGGCGGCCGUAACUAUAACGGUCCUAAGGUAGCGAAAUUCCUUGUCGGGUAAGUUCCGACCUGCACGAAUGGCGUAAUGAUGGCCAGGCUGUCUCCACCCGAGACUCAGUGAAAUUGAACUCGCUGUGAAGAUGCAGUGUACCCGCGGCAAGACGGAAAGACCCCGUGAACCUUUACUAUAGCUUGACACUGAACACUGGUCCUUGAUGUGUAGGAUAGGUGGGAGGCUUUGAAGCGUGGACGCCAGUCUGCGUGGAGCCAACCUUGAAAUACCACCCUUUAAUGGCUGGUGUUCUAACGUGGACCCGUAAUCCGGGUUGCGGACAGUGUCUGGUGGGUAGUUUGACUGGGGCGGUCUCCUCCCAAAGAGUAACGGAGGAGCACGAAGGUUGGCUAAUCCUGGUCGGACAUCAGGAGGUUAGUGCAAUGGCAUAAGCCAGCUUGACUGCGAGCGUGACGGCGCGAGCAGGUGCGAAAGCAGGUCAUAGUGAUCCGGUGGUUCUGAAUGGAAGGGCCAUCGCUCAACGGAUAAAAGGUACUCCGGGGAUAACAGGCUGAUACCGCCCAAGAGUUCAUAUCGACGGCGGUGUUUGGCACCUCGAUGUCGGCUCAUCACAUCCUGGGGCUGAAGUAGGUCCCAAGGGUAUGGCUGUUCGCCAUUUAAAGUGGUACGCGAGCUGGGUUUAGAACGUCGUGAGACAGUUCGGUCCCUAUCUGCCGUGGGCGCUGGAGAAUUGAGGGGGGCUGCUCCUAGUACGAGAGGACCGGAGUGGACGCAUCACUGGUGUUCGGGUUGUCAUGCCAAUGGCACUGCCCGGUAGCUAAAUGCGGAAGAGAUAAGUGCUGAAAGCAUCUAAGCACGAAACUUGCCCCGAGAUGAGUUCUCCCUGAGACUUUAAGUCUCCUGAAGGAACGUUGAAGACGACGACGUUGAUAGGUCGGGUGUGUAAGCGCAGCGAUGCGUUGAGCUAACCGAUACUAAUGAACCGUGAGGCUUAACCUU